rnacentral:tRNA from 1 species
GAGGGUAUAGUUCAGUGGUAGAAUGUGUGCUUAGUAUGCACGAGGUCCUGGGUUCAAUCCCCAGUACCUCUG